rnacentral:rRNA from 1 species
UACGUAGGGAGCGAGCGUUGUCCGGAUUCAUUGGGCGUAAAGAGCUCGUAGGCGGCUUGAUAAGUCGGAUGUGAAACCUCCAGGCUCAACCUGGAGUCGCCAUCCGAUACUGUCAUGGCUAGAGUCCGGUAGGGGCCCACGGAAUUCCUGGUGUAGCGGUGGAAUGCGCAGAUAUCAGGAAGAACACCGGUGGCGAAGGCGGGUCUCUGGGCCGUAACUGACGCUGAGGAGCGAAAGCGUGGGGAGCGAACAGG